rnacentral:lncRNA from 1 species
GCCGCUUUCUGGAUGCCAAAAUGUCCAAAUUGAAAUCCGGUGAGUUUUGUCCUAAAAAUUCGUUUAAAGUGAUGAUGUACUUAUUCACUUCUAAUAAUCUGCUCAUGUAGAAUAUCGUCCUUCUUUAAGAACUGGUCGGGGUCAGGGUGGUUAUGAAACUUGUUCCACCAGUAAAUAGAAUAAAACGGAACUUGAAGAAAAAUAAGUCGCACUGUUGGGAACUGGUGUAUAAAGGU